UUACUUACCUGGCAGGAGCAAUUCCAUGAUCAAGAAGGUGGUUCACCCAAGGCGAGGCUCAGCGAUUGCACUCAGGCUGUGCUGGCCUUUGCGAAUUCCCCAAAUGUGGGACUCUCUAUUGCAUAAUUUCUGAUAAUUACCUCUGACUUUAACAGUCAGAGGUAA